CCUACGGGUGGCAGCAGUGGGGAAUAUUGGACAAUGGGCGCAAGCCUGACCCAGCGACGCCGCGUGAAGGAAGAAGGCUUUCGGGUUGUAAACUUCUUUUAUCAGGGACGAAACAAGUGACGGUACCUGACUAAUAAGCCACGGCUAACUACGUGCCAGCAGCCGCGGUAAUACGUAGGUGGCAAGCGUUAUCCGGAUUUACUGGGUGUAAAGGGCGUGUAGGCGGGACUGCAAGUCAGAUGUGAAAAGCACGGGCUCAACCUGUGGCCUGCAUUUGAAACUGUAGUUCUUGAGUACUGGAGAGGUAGGCGGAAGUCCUAGUGUAGCGGUGAAAUGCGUAGAUAUUAGGAGGAACACCAGUGGCGAAGGCGGUUUGCUGGACAGCAACUGACGCUGAGGCGCGAAAGCGUGGGGAGCAAACAGGAUUAGAUACCCUGGUAGUC
rnacentral:rRNA from 1 species